CAACUUUCAACAACGGAUCUCUUGGUUCUCGCAUCGAUGAAGAACGCAGCGAAUUGCGAUAUGUAAUGUGAAUUGCAGAAUUCAGUGAAUCAUCGAAUCUUUGAACGCACCUUGCACCCUUUGGUUCUCCAAAGGGUAUGCCUGUUUGAGCGUCGU
rnacentral:rRNA from 1 species